UACGAAGGGGGCUAGCGUUGCUCGGAAUUACUGGGCGUAAAGGGAGCGUAGGCGGAUAGUUCAGUCAGAGGUGAAAGCCCAGGGCUCAACCUUGGAACUGCCUUUGAUACUGGCUAUCUUGAGUUUGGGAGAGGUGUGUGGAACUCCGAGUGUAGAGGUGAAAUUCGUAGAUAUUCGGAAGAACACCAGUGGCGAAGGCGACACACUGGCCCAAUACUGACGCUGAGGCUCGGAAAGCGUGGGGAGCAAACAGG
rnacentral:rRNA from 1 species